rnacentral:rRNA from 2 species
UACGUAGGGACCAAGCGUUGUUCGGAUUUACUGGGCGUAAAGGGCGCGUAGGCGGCGUGGUAAGUCACUUGUGAAAUCUCCGAGCUUAACUCGGAACGGUCAAGUGAUACUGCUGUGCUAGAGUACAGAAGGGGCAAUCGGAAUUCUUGGUGUAGCGGUGAAAUGCGUAGAUAUCAAGAGGAACACCUGAGGUGAAGACGGGUUGCUGGGCUGAUACUGACGCUGAGGCGCGAAAGCUAGGGUAGCAAACGGG